UGGGGAAUAUUGCACAAUGGGCGCAAGCCUGAUGCAGCCAUGCCGCGUGUAUGAAGAAGGCCUUCGGGUUGUAAAGUACUUUCAGCGAGGAGGAAGGCGUUGUGGUUAAUAACCGCAACGAUUGACGUUACUCGCAGAAGAAGCACCGGCUAACUCCGUGCCAGAAGCCGCGGUAAUACGGAGGGUGCAAGAGUUAAUCGGAAUUACUGGGCGUAAAGCGCACGCAGGCGGUCUGUCAAGUCGGAUGUGAAAUCCCCGGGCUCAACCUGGGAACUGCAUCCGAAACUGGCAGGCUAGAGUCUUGUAGAGGGGGGUAGAAUUCCAGGUGUAGCGGUGAAAUGCGUAGAGAUCUGGAGGAAUACCGGUGGCGAAGGCGGCCCCCUGGACAAAGACUGACGCUCAGGUGCGAAAGCGUGGGGAGCAAACA
rnacentral:rRNA from 1 species